rnacentral:lncRNA from 1 species
UGUAAUCUCUCUUUAUUUUAUGCCUUACAUCAUGUAUUUAUAGGUUACAAGUCCAAUUUUUAGCUUAGGAACAAACUCAAUCCUAUUUGGAGUCAAAAAGGUGUCAAAAUUCGCCCAAAACGCGUCCAAGCCUCAACCAACCUCUUCCCCAGCGCCCCAGCGCUGGGCUUGACGCUCAGAAACUUCUCCCCAGUGCCCCGACGCUGGGCAUAGGCCUAUUUUGGGCGCCCCGGCGCUGGCCCCAAGUUCUGACAUUUUCUGCUCCGACAUCCUUUGGGAAAACGGCCAUAACCUUUGAUCCGGGAGGAGUUACGGGGCC